rnacentral:rRNA from 1 species
CCUCCCGUAGGCAGCAGUGGGGGAUAUUGCACAAUGGGGGAAACCCUGAUGCAGCGACGCCGCGUGUAGGAAGACGGUCCUCUGGAUUGUAAACUACUGUCCCCAGGGACGAAGAUGACGGUACCGGGGGAGGAAGCUCCGGCUAACUACGUGCCAGCAGCCGCGGUAAUACGUAGGGAGCGAGCGUUGUCCGGAAUUACUGGGUGUAAAGGGAGCGUAGGCGGGGAUGCAAGUUGGGUGUUAAAUCUACCGGCUCAACUGGUAGUCGCACUCAAAACUGCAGCUCUUGAGUGAAGUAGAGGCAGGCGGAAUUCCUGGUGUAGCGGUGAAAUGCGUAGAUAUUAGGAGGAACACCAGUGGCGAAGGCAGCCUGCUGGGCUUUUACUGACGCUGAGGCUCGAAAGUGUGGGGAGCAAACAGGAUUAGAUACCCUUGUAGUC